rnacentral:rRNA from 1 species
GAUCCUGGCUCAGGAUGAACGCUAGCGACAGGCUAACACAUGCAAGUCGAGGGGCAGCAUAAAAGUAGCAAUACUUGGUGGCGACCGGCGCACGGGUGAGUAACGCGUAUGCAACCUACCUAUCAGAGGGGAAUAACCCGGCGAAAGUCGGACUAAUACCGCAUAAAACAGGGGCACCGCAUGGUGAUAUUUGUUAAAGAAAUUCGCUGAUAGAUGGGCAUGCGUUCCAUUAGGUAGUUGGUGAGGUAACGGCUCACCAAGCCGACGAUGGAUAGGGGAACUGAGAGGUUGGUCCCCCACACUGGUACUGAGACACGGACCAGACUCCUACGGGAGGCAGCAGUGAGGAAUAUUGGUCAAUGGGCGGGAGCCUGAACCAGCCAAGUCGCGUGAAGGAAGAAGGAUCUAUGGUUCGUAAACUUCUUUUGCAGGGGAAUAAAGUGCAGGACGUGUCCUGUUUUGUAUGUACCCUGAGAAUAAGGAUCGGCUAACUCCGUGCCAGCCGCCGC